AUUGCCCUAGUAACGGCGAGUGAAGCGGCAACAGCUCAAAUUUGAAAUCUGGCUUCGGCCCGAGUUGUAAUUUGUAGAGGAAGCUUUAGGCGCGGCACCUUCUGAGUCCCCUGGAACGGGGCGCCACAGAGGGUGAGAGCCCCGUAUAGUUGGAUGCCUAGCCUGUGUAAAGCUCCUUCGACGAGUCGAGUAGUUUGGGAAUGCUGCUCAAAAUGGGAGGUAAAUUUCUUCUAAAGCUAAAUACCGGCCAGAGACCGAUAGCGCACAAGUAGAGUGAUCGAAAGAUGAAAAGCACUUUGAAAAGAGGGUUAAAUAGCACGUGAAAUUGUUGAAAGGGAAGCGCUUGUGACCAGACUUGCGCCGGGCGGAUCAUCCGGUGUUCUCACCGGUGCACUCCGCCCGGCUCAGGCCAGCAUCGGUUCUCGCGGGGGGAUAAAGGCCCCGGGAACGUAGCUCCUCCGGGAGUGUUAUAGCCCGGGGCGUAAUGCCCUCGCGGGGACCGAGGACCGCGCAUCUGCAAGGAUG
rnacentral:rRNA from 1 species